CUAGGUCCAACUCCUUUCUUGCUACGCUAUUUCCUACCACUGCAUAUGCACAUGGAUUACUUUGCUGCUGCUUCUUAACCUUGUCUUCUCCCUUUUGCCACUUUUUCUAAAGAAGAGUAUUUGAGUGUAAAUACUCACAAAAAUAACAGUUUUAUAGCCUCUAAGUCAUCUGUUCCCUUGGAUUAUUAUUUUUUUAUUAUUUUUUUUUUAUUAUUUACUAUUGUUUAUAGUUCCCUAGAUCACUUCUUCCCUCAUGCAGGCUGCUACCUCAUUCCAUGCUGUGCUGAUACCUACCAGCCACAAAACUAAAUGCAGCCCUGUGCCCAGGCCAGCCACUACAGCUGUUUAAAUACAUCUCUGUCCUAACGCAAGGCUUGUCCAUCUCUACAGUACAUAAAACUUUAAACAGAGCAUGACAACUUUUUCUGCUUCUCAUACAUCUCUGCCUUUUUUUUUUUUUUUUUUUUUGGCUUCUGAUCAUGAUAAUGAUGCAAUCUUUCAAAUUCUGGUCUUCUGUUUUAAACUCACACAGCGUUAUGCAUCCACUCAUAAUAAUCGGUUUCCACUGCAGGACCUAGCUAUUUUGCAAGAAUGUGGAGCCCAAAGACUUAGUCCCUGCUGAAUACCACAUUUCCUUACCUUAGCCAUUUCUUCCAAGGGUAGGACGAUGGAUGUUUCUAGGAGCAGUGCUAAUGUCCAGUAACAGACUGGAUUUGUUUUUCUCCUUCCUCUGUACCCAGUCAAUGGCCUUGUCCUUUACAGGUAAGCCAUAAUAAAACCAAAAUCUCUGUUCAGCUGAGUCAUGAGAAUGGAGCAGAGACAAAAAUCUCUGAUCACCUAGGACUACAAUCAGAGGCUUUUAAAGCAAAUAUCAGCAAACUUCAGGCUUCUAUCCAGUGUCUGCCUAGCAUGAGCUUGCUCAGACUGCUACCUAUUUUCUCCUCUUUCUCUCAAACCUUCAGCAAACUGUCAGCUUUCCUCAGAUCAUUAGUGAUCUUGAAUCACCUGGGCUGCCAAAAUUCAUUUGUUACAUUGUAAAUGAGCUACCUGCUAGGACACAGGACUGCACACUGGCUGCAUUCCUGGUCUUUCUUCCGUGAUGACCGCAGGCUUCUGCCCACAAAGAUUUUGCAGACGGCUACUCACCAACACAGCGGAAAGGUUCACAGAAAGGUUUCCCCACGUUCUGCACUGAUUCUUUACACUCAGUGGCUUGUAUGCUAUGCUGCAUACAUAGUGCUAGUCCAUAGUGUAAAUCCAGUAAAUAUCUAACAGUCUAACAGUACAAAUUAUCAGAUUAAUAAUCAGAAAAGCCUCACUUCUCUGGUGUUGUGUUCUCCCUUCCAAUGAGUCUCUAGGACCUGAGGUUGACAGUUUAAGUCUUCCUCAUGCAGAGAAGAGGGGGCUUGCUUUACACGUUGUCAUCACCCUGAGGCCUUCACAAGAAGAACGAUGAUAUUUGCAAUGGUGGUUGUAACUCUUCAGUCUUGGGAAACCUCCAGUACUCAAGGAACUUGAUCUCCUGUACAAUCAAAUAUAAGUCAUGUUCCACUGCUCUCCUUCAGGAACUCAAAGCUAUACAGAAGAAAACUGAGCCCCAUGUGAAUGGAUGAGAUAGGCUUUACAGCUUCUCUCUAAUUUCAUUGCAUAUUGGUAAAAGCAACUGCGUAAUAUGAGAUACAAAUGUCAAAAUAUUUACCUGUUUUUGUAAGAAGUUGCACAAGGAGUCAUUCAAGGAGUCAUUCUUUUUCUGUACAUUUAAGCAUGAGUAUUCAUAACUGUAAAAAAACAACAGCAACAACAACGCUGCCAACAACAGAAAAAUAACUGCCAUAUGUUGUUUCUUGUUUAUCUAAUUUCCUUUCUAUAGAAUGAAGCACGAGCAUUCAUAUUUUCAAAAAAAAAAGAGUCAACAAUAAGGAAAACUAUCACAUUAUCUACUGUUUUUCUUAUGUAUAGAAAUGUUUUGUAGAUGUUAUCUUAAGCCAUUAGUCAGGUGUCUUGCCCUAGUUUUCGAUAUUUAGAAUAAACCUAAGUAUUUCAGCUUUUAGCAUUUGUCCUGUUCACAAAAUUUUAUUUGUAUGUUGGGGACCAAUUUUUCAUAAACAUCUAGAGUUCUUUCAACACUGGCACAGUAGCAGGGAACUGAGGUAGGUUCUAUUGUACUUCUGGAGUAAAUUAAAUUAAUUUUAUAACUUAUUCCACACUUAGAAACAUGAAAAUAAGCCUUUUUGUAAGUUUGAAACAGAUACAUUGUGCAUUUCAGGUUAACAUUUUAUAUACGGUUUUGAGUGCAGGUUUGCAUAUUAACUGAAUGGGGUUUGAUGUUUUACUCUUUUCAUUCUUUCCAAAAGAGUUUUUUGCAUUGUACGUGUAUAUUAACUCUAUUAGUAAAAAGUGUAAAAUAUUCUCUGAUAACUUCCCAUUAUGUUAGAGAAGAUUCAACAAAGGCUUUAAUGUCUUUUGUUUUAAAUCUGCAUAGUUAAUAAAAUCUUCAAGAAUAUGGUAUCUGUAAAUAUACUACUGUCAUUCAUCGUUAGAGAUAAUAUGCAGAGGUUGUAACUGUGAGCUAUUUAAAAUCAAAAGCAACAGAGUCAGAAUGUAGUCCUGUUUGGAGGUGUGAUACAUAAAAGUUAUCCCUCAAGAACAUACCCUUCUAAAGUGUAACCAAAUAUAAUUAUUUCAUGUGGUGCUGUAUAAUUGAGAUGACUUGGUAUUCCCCCUCUUGUAACACUUUUCAUCUAGCUGUUACGUUUGACAGGGUAAGGUUAAAUCUCCUUCUCCUAUCACGGGUUAGAAAAUACUUUUAGUUCUAAGAAUAGCUCAUUAAAGGAGGAUGGAGAGUCUCCUUUUCCAACGUACAUAUUAAUUACCAUAACACUCAGUGAAUUUAUCUUUGCUGACAAAAUGACAUACCUUGCUUCUAUAUCAAUGAAAACUGAGUUUCUUGCAGAUGAAAACUGUCACUUGCCUCAAAUAACUAGGUACAAUGAAUUCAAAACAGGGAAAGUAGAGCGAAACUUUGCAAAAAUAUAUAGUUCUGUGCUAAGCAAAACAGCACCUAUUUCUUUCCAGAAAGAAUCUGAAUUGAACACAGGACUUAGAAAAGUCAAUAAACUCAUGAUCUGGUCCACUGUUGUUCUGGACCUUAUGUGACCCCCUCUACUGAAUUCCUGGCUUUAUACCAAUGUCAGUGAUGACAGCAAACACCGUAGCAAGUAAACCUACCGGUGUGCUUGUACCUUCAAAUUUGAGGUGAACAAUGCCAGGAACAUGUGCAGCUGGAAGGCAGGAGUAAAACACUUGUAUGCUCCUACAAUACACAUGCAGAAACUCUUUGUAAGGAAAAAGGGCUAGAGAAUACAUACAUCACCAGAUCUACGUCUCUUUGUUUACAGGGGAAUGCCCUUACCCUUUCCCAUAUUCUUUGCCACAGCACAGAGAAAAUCAUUGCAUAACUACAGUUUAAGAUUUAUGUUACAAUGCUUUUUUCUGUUAAGUAUAAAAUAUUUUUUUCAUUCACCUCCAAGUGUGCAGUGCACUGCAAAUAAUAUACAUUUCUAAGAAAUUAGUAAUAUAUGCAGCCUUACUUAGUUUCCAUUCAGCUGCUGAAAUAAAACACUCCAUUUCUCUAAAAGUCAGGGUAGAUGGAUGUCUAGUUUAUAGACUGCCAAAUGUGUGAUUUAGGGAUAACUGCCAGAAUUACAAAGCGAACAAGUAGCUGCCCUGCAUUGCCUAGUGACAGCACUUGUCUAAAAUCCAUUUAAGGAUUCACUGUUCCUAUUAAAAGUACUUUUUUUUUUUUUAAUUAUUAUUUAUUUUUUCAGAAUUAUAGUAUUUUUUAAAUAGAAUAAGCAUCUCCAGGUAACUCUCAUCAUGACAUGAUAAAUAAAGUAUAGAAGAAGGAUUCUGGUAUACUUUCAAAACAUAUAGUACAAGGGGAAAAAACGUUAAAUAAACAAUUUCAGCAUAAUUAGGGAGUACAAGACUAGUUAAAGAUUCUGUUAUUUUUCUCCAAAGACAAUAUCUGCUGCUCCUGCUGCAGUGGUGAAGAAAAGCAAAAGAAAAAAAAAAAAGCAUAAUUUAAAAUGUUUUAUUUUCAUCCUUCUAAUUUUUUUUUUUAACAGCAUGACCAAUUUUUCAACAAAACAAAAGCUAGUAAGAAAUAAAUACAAAAUAAUUAUUUAAAUACUUAUCUGUGAACCAAUCUGGUAAUGAAGGGAAAUACAAAGCAUUAAGUCUUCCAGAAACUUUUUCUCCAGUUAUUUAAAAUAUUUUAAAUAAAUUCAAGACCGUGUCUAUGCACUAUUUUUGGUCGGAAGGCAAUCCACAAAUAAUCUGGUACUAGCAUUCAUGUCCUGAAAUUUGAUUGCCUUUGGCUUGUUUUGACUGAAAUUGCAUAAUAUUCCUGUUCUUGUUUUCACAUUGAUGGUGCUAAAUGAUUUGGCACAGCCAGUUCAAACACUGGUCUGAGUGAUUCUUCUCUGACAGUCACUGAAAAUUUAUUGUUCCUGUAAGACUAUAAUCAUGAAGAAGAAAAAAAAGGAACAGUAAAUGUCUGAGUAUAUUCUUUUACUUAUUUGACCAAAUAUUCACAGAAAUAUUUUUCAGCAUUCACUAACUGGCAGAUAGCAGUGCCUUUAUAUCCAGUAGUACUGUCUCCCUUGGGAAGUGAAUAGCUGCUGGACCUCACCUCUAACUAAUCUCUUCAGUGCACAGUCUCUUUGAGCGACAGGCCUCUACCCACAUACUACCCAUAGCAGAACUCCCAAGAAACACUCUUCUUUAAACCUGAUGAGUUUACAGCAUCCUGCAUUCUGUAUUCCUGCAUUUAAAUCUCCUCAGAAGUACAUCCCGUAAAUUGCUAAAUCUCAGUAAAUUUAUUCUUUCUAGUUUGAAUAUCCUACAGCUACCACUUUUUGUCUGAGCUCCAAAGAGGCAUCUCUGUCCCUAUUUAACACGGCAAGGCAAACUGUGAUUUCUCUCUGCAUGACCCUUCUUCUCUGGGUACUACACCAGCAUGCAGUGACUCGCAAUCUCUCCUAGAACUAUUUUAAAGAAAGCUGUGAAAUGUUUGUCCAUUUGUGUCUUGCUGUAAAGCUUCACCAGUGUGAUAAGCAUCAGAAGUGUACCUGCCUCAGGUGUGCCAGUGUCACAGCUGCAG